UACGCUGGCGGCACGCCUAACACAUGCAAGUCGAACGAAGUAGCAAUACUUAGUGGCAGACGGGUGAGUAACAUGUAGGUAUCUGCCCUUUGGCCUGGAAUAACACGAGGAAACUUGUGCUAAUACCGGAUAAGUCUUUACGGAGAAAGCUUUAUGCACCAUUGGAUGAGCCUGCACUUGAUUAGUUUGUUGGUGGGGUAAUGGCCUACCAAGACUGUGAUCAAUAGCGGAUUUGAGAGGAUGAUCAGCCACAUUGGGACUGAGACACGGCCCAAACUCCUACGGGAGGCAGCAGUGGGGAAUCUUGCACAAUGGAGGAAACUCUGAUGCAGCGAUGCCGCGUGAGUGAAGAAGGCCCUUGGGUUGUAAAGCUCUUUCGUCGGGGAAGAAAAUGACUGUACCCGAAUAAGAAGGUCCGG
rnacentral:rRNA from 1 species